rnacentral:rRNA from 1 species
UACGUAGGGUGCAAGCGUUGUCCGGAAUUAUUGGGCGUAAAGAGCUCGUAGGCGGUUUGUUGCGUCGGCUGUGAAAUCCCGAGGCUCAACCUCGGGUCUGCAGUCGAUACGAGCAAACUAGAGUGUUGCAGGGGAGACUGGAAUUCCUGGUGUAGCGGUGAAAUGCGCAGAUAUCAGGAGGAACACCGGUGGCGAAGGCGGGUCUCUGGGCAACAACUGACGCUGAGGAGCGAAAGCGUGGGGAGCGAACAAG